CAGAAUCAAUAAUCGAAACAUACGGAGGCCGAAAAUUUUCUGGAACAGGUUCAAGGGUAUGCGGAUAAAUCCGAUGGCGAGCGUGGUCGUGUCAGAAUAUUGCCGUGGUCAACAUACCUAACAGUUCUAGAAAACAAACUGUUCUUACUCAGUAAGGUAGCUAAAAUCUCUUCAGAAACUUAGAAUUACCCGAAGGAAGAUGUACUGACCAUGUUUUCCAACGUGGCGACAAAAAAAGACGUUGUGUGGGUUGUUAUGAAAAAUUACGACGCACAUUAAACAGCACUGACGCUUCAAAAAAAACUAAAAGAAUUGUUACCAUUUGCGCGCAAUGCAAGCAAUCA